rnacentral:rRNA from 1 species
UACGGGGGGAGCAAGCGUUGUUCGGAUUUACUGGGCGUAAAGGGCGCGUAGGCGGCCACCGCAAGUCGACUGUGAAAUCUCCGGGCUUAACUCGGAAAGGUCAGCCGAUACUGCGGGGCUAGAGUGCAGAAGGGGCAACUGGAAUUCUCGGUGUAGCGGUGAAAUGCGUAGAUAUCAAGAGGAACACCUGAGGUGAAGACGGGUUGCUGGGCUGACACUGACGCUGAGGCGCGAAAGCUAGGGUAGCAAACGGG